rnacentral:rRNA from 1 species
UUGUUUCUCAAACACCUGUGAACUUGAUAGCUCUGUGAAGUCGUCUUUCAAGUCGUCAGACUUGGUGUGCUGGGAUUUAAACGUCUCGGUGUGACAACGCAGUCUAUUUACUUAACACACCCCAAAUGUAUGUUACGAAUGUCAUUUAAUGGGCCUUGUGCCUAUAAACCAUAAUACAACUUUCAACAACGGAUCUCUUGGCUCUCGCAUCGAUGAAGAACGCAGCGAAAUGCGAUAAGUAAUCUGAAUUGCAGAAUUCAGUGAAUCAUCGAAGCUAUGAACGCACCUUGCGCCCCUUGGUAUUCCGAGGGGCAUGCCUGUUUGAGUGUCAUUAAAUUCUCAAACUCACUUUGGUUUCCCUUUGUGAUGUUUGGAUUGUUGGGGGCUGCUGGCCUUGACAGGUCGGCUCCUCUUAAAUGCAUUAGCAGGACUUCUCAUUGCCUCUGCGCUUGAUGUGAUAAUUAUCACUCAUCAAUAGCACGCAUGAAUAGAGUCCAGCUCUCUAAUCGUCCGCAAGGACAAUUUGACAAUUUGACCUCAAAUCAGGUAGGACUACCCGCUGAACUUAAGCAUACUAAUAAGCGGAGGAAAAGAAACUAACAAGGAUUCCCCUAGUAACUGCGAGUGAAGCGGGAAAAGCUCAAAUUUAAAAUCUGGUGGUCUUUGGCCAUCCGAGUUGUAACCUAGAGAAGUGUUAUCCGCGCUGGACCGUGUACAAGUCCCCUGGAAUGGGGCGUCAUAGAGGGUGAGAAUCCCGUCUUUGACACGGACUACCAGGGCUUUGUGAUGCACUCUCAAAGAGUCGAUGAUUUUGGGAAUGCAGCUCAAAAUGGGUGGUAAAUUCCAUCUAAAGCUAAAUAUUGGCGAGAGACCGAUAGCGAACAAGUACCGUGAGGGAAAGAUGAAAAGAACUUUGGAAAGAGAGUUAAACGAUCCGAAAUUGUUGAAAGGGAAACGCUUGAAGUCAGUCGCGUCUGCCAGGGAUCAACCUUACUUUUGUGAGGCGUACUUCCUGGUUGAUGGGUCAGCAUCAGUUUUGGUCGCUGGAUAAAGGUCAGAGAAAUGUGGCACCUUCGGGUGUGUUAUAGUCUUUGAUCAGAUACAGUGGCUGGGACUGAGGAACUCAGCGCCGCAAGGCUGUCUUAGGAUGCUGGCAAAAUGGCUUUAAUCGAACGACUUGAAGGACGACUUCAGGAGUCUAACAUGCCUGCGAGUGUUUGGGUGGAAAACCCGAGCGCGUAAUGAAAGUGAAAGUUGGGAUCCCUGUCAUGGGGAGCACCGACGCCCAUACCAGAAGUCUAUGGA